UCGGGAAUUUUGGGCAAUGGGCGAAAGCCUGACCCAGCAACGCCGCGUGAGGGAUGAAGUCCCUCGGGAUGUAAACUUCAUAAGAACGGGAAGAAUAAGCCUGUGUUAACACCAUAGGCGAUGACGGUACCGUUAGUAAGCUCCGGCUAACUCCGUG
rnacentral:rRNA from 1 species